UACGAAGGGGGCUAGCGUUGCUCGGAAUCACUGGGCGUAAAGGGUGCGUAGGCGGGUCUUUAAGUCAGGGGUGAAAUCCUGGAGCUCAACUCCAGAACUGCCUUUGAUACUGAGGAUCUUGAGUAUGGGAGAGGUGAGUGGAACUGCGAGUGUAGAGGUGAAAUUCGUAGAUAUUCGCAAGAACACCGGUGGCGAAGGCGGCCUGCUGGGCAGUGGCUGACGCUGAGGCGCGGACAGCGUGGGGAGCAAACAGG
rnacentral:rRNA from 1 species